GCUAAGGACUGCAGUGGAUAUUGAUGAUGUUAGGAGAGAGGUUGAGAUCAUGAAACAUUUGCCUGUGCAUCCGAAUAUUGUGACCUUGAAGGAUACUUAUGAGGAUGAUAAUGCAGUGCACAUUGUGAUGGAAUUGUGUGAGGGUGGGGAGUUGUUUGAUCGAAUCGUUGCUAGAGGCCACUAUACAGAGAGAGCAGCUGCUGGAAUUUUGAAGACUGUCGUGGAAGUCGUUCAGAUGUGUCACAGGCAAGGGGUAAUGCAUCGUGAUCUCAAACCUGAGAAUUUUCUUUUUGGUAACAAGAAAGAAACAGCUCCACUGAAGGCUAUUGACUUUGGGUUGUCUGUUUUCUUUAAACCUGGGGAACGCUUUAAUGAGAUAGUGGGAAGUCCUUAUUACAUGGCUCCUGAGGUCCUAAAGCGCAAUUAUGGACCAGAGGUCGAUGUCUGGAGUGCUGGAGUUAUACUUUACAUUCUUCUAUGCGGUGUUCCACCUUUCUGGGCAGAGACUGAACAAGGAGUAGCCCAAGCGAUUAUUCGUUCUGUGAUUGAUUUCAAGAGGGAUCCAUGG
rnacentral:misc_RNA from 1 species